rnacentral:rRNA from 1 species
GGUUAAGCGACUAAGCGUACACGGUGGAUGCCCUGGCAGUCAGAGGCGAUGAAGGACGUGCUAAUCUGCGAUAAGCGUCGGUAAGGUGAUAUGAACCGUUAUAACCGGCGAUUUCCGAAUGGGGAAACCCAGUGUGAUUCGUCACACUAUCAUUAACUGAAUCCAUAGGUUAAUGAGGCGAACCGGGGGAACUGAAACAUCUAAGUACCCCGAGGAAAAGAAAUCAACCGAGAUUCCCCCAGUAGCGGCGAGCGAACGGGGAGCAGCCCAGAGCCUGAAUCAGUGUGUGUGUUAGUGGAAGCGUCUGGAAAGGCGCGCGAUACAGGGUGACAGCCCCGUACACAAAAAUGCACAUACUGUGAGCUCGAUGAGUAGGGCGGGACACGUGGUAUCCUGUCUGAAUAUGGGGGGACCAUCCUCCAAGGCUAAAUACUCCUGACUGACCGAUAGUGAACCAGUACCGUGAGGGAAAGGCGAAAAGAACCCCGGCGAGGGGAGUGAAAAAGAACCUGAAACCGUGUACGUACAAGCAGUGGGAGCACAGAGCAAUCUGUGUGACUGCGUACCUUUUGUAUAAUGGGUCAGCGACUUAUAUUCUGUAGCAAGGUUAACCGAAUAGGGGAGCCGAAGGGAAACCGAGUCUUAACUGGGCGUUAAGUUGCAGGGUAUAGACCCGAAACCCGGUGAUCUAGCCAUGGGCAGGUUGAAGGUUGGGUAACACUAACUGGAGGACCGAACCGACUAAUGUUGAAAAAUUAGCGGAUGACUUGUGGCUGGGGGUGAAAGGCCAAUCAAACCGGGAGAUAGCUGGUUCUCCCCGAAAGCUAUUUAGGUAGCGCCUCGUGAAUUCAUCUCCGGGGGUAGAGCACUGUUUCGGCAAGGGGGUCAUCCCGACUUACCAACCCGAUGCAAACUGCGAAUACCGGAGAAUGUUAUCACGGGAGACACACGGCGGGUGCUAACGUCCGUCGUGAAGAGGGAAACAACCCAGACCGCCAGCUAAGGUCCCAAAGUCAUGGUUAAGUGGGAAACGAUGUGGGAAGGCCCAGACAGCCAGGAUGUUGGCUUAGAAGCAGCCAUCAUUUAAAGAAAGCGUAAUAGCUCACUGGUCGAGUCGGCCUGCGCGGAAGAUGUAACGGGGCUAAACCAUGCACCGAAGCUGCGGCAGCGACGCUUAUGCGUUGUUGGGUAGGGGAGCGUUCUGUAAGCCUGCGAAGGUGUGCUGUGAGGCAUGCUGGAGGUAUCAGAAGUGCGAAUGCUGACAUAAGUAACGAUAAAGCGGGUGAAAAGCCCGCUCGCCGGAAGACCAAGGGUUCCUGUCCAACGUUAAUCGGGGCAGGGUGAGUCGACCCCUAAGGCGAGGCCGAAAGGCGUAGUCGAUGGGAAACAGGUUAAUAUUCCUGUACUUGGUGUUACUGCGAAGGGGGGACGGAGAAGGCUAUGUUGGCCGGGCGACGGUUGUCCCGGUUUAAGCGUGUAGGCUGGUUUUCCAGGCAAAUCCGGAAAAUCAAGGCUGAGGCGUGAUGACGAGGCACUACGGUGCUGAAGCAACAAAUGCCCUGCUUCCAGGAAAAGCCUCUAAGCAUCAGGUAACAUCAAAUCGUACCCCAAACCGACACAGGUGGUCAGGUAGAGAAUACCAAGGCGCUUGAGAGAACUCGGGUGAAGGAACUAGGCAAAAUGGUGCCGUAACUUCGGGAGAAGGCACGCUGAUAUGUAGGUGAAGCGACUUGCUCGUGGAGCUGAAAUCAGUCGAAGAUACCAGCUGGCUGCAACUGUUUAUUAAAAACACAGCACUGUGCAAACACGAAAGUGGACGUAUACGGUGUGACGCCUGCCCGGUGCCGGAAGGUUAAUUGAUGGGGUUAGCGCAAGCGAAGCUCUUGAUCGAAGCCCCGGUAAACGGCGGCCGUAACUAUAACGGUCCUAAGGUAGCGAAAUUCCUUGUCGGGUAAGUUCCGACCUGCACGAAUGGCGUAAUGAUGGCCAGGCUGUCUCCACCCGAGACUCAGUGAAAUUGAACUCGCUGUGAAGAUGCAGUGUACCCGCGGCAAGACGGAAAGACCCCGUGAACCUUUACUAUAGCUUGACACUGAACAUUGAGCCUUGAUGUGUAGGAUAGGUGGGAGGCUUUGAAGUGUGGACGCCAGUCUGCAUGGAGCCGACCUUGAAAUACCACCCUUUAAUGUUUGAUGUUCUAACGUUGACCCGUAAUCCGGGUUGCGGACAGUGUCUGGUGGGUAGUUUGACUGGGGCGGUCUCCUCCUAAAGAGUAACGGAGGAGCACGAAGGUUGGCUAAUCCUGGUCGGACAUCAGGAGGUUAGUGCAAUGGCAUAAGCCAGCUUGACUGCGAGCGUGACGGCGCGAGCAGGUGCGAAAGCAGGUCAUAGUGAUCCGGUGGUUCUGAAUGGAAGGGCCAUCGCUCAACGGAUAAAAGGUACUCCGGGGAUAACAGGCUGAUACCGCCCAAGAGUUCAUAUCGACGGCGGUGUUUGGCACCUCGAUGUCGGCUCAUCACAUCCUGGGGCUGAAGUAGGUCCCAAGGGUAUGGCUGUUCGCCAUUUAAAGUGGUACGCGAGCUGGGUUUAGAACGUCGUGAGACAGUUCGGUCCCUAUCUGCCGUGGGCGCUGGAGAAUUGAGGGGGGCUGCUCCUAGUACGAGAGGACCGGAGUGGACGCAUCACUGGUGUUCGGGUUGUCAUGCCAAUGGCACUGCCCGGUAGCUAAAUGCGGAAGAGAUAAGUGCUGAAAGCAUCUAAGCACGAAACUUGCCCCGAGAUGAGUUCUCCCUGACUCCUUGAGAGUCCUGAAGGAACGUUGAAGACGACGACGUUGAUAGGCCGGGUGUGUAAGCGCAGCGAUGCGUUGAGCUAACCGGUACUAAUGAACCGUGAGGCUUAACCUU